AGUCACUCUCAACCUCAAAGGUCCCUCUCUGCAUUCAGAUUUCAGAUGCAAAUGGCCUCUGAACAUUUAUAACAUUUCCACCUUUGCAUUAAAACCAGUCCAAUUGGAAAAUUUUUUAAAAUAAUAAAAAUAAAUAAGCAAAGGAGAUUUUCAUGGUCUUCAUUCACAGUUCACCCUCUACUUAGUGGUAGUUUCUUCUCUUCCAAUUUAGUAGGAAUUUGUAACAGAAAGGCGAGUAAAGGGUGAAGGUGCUGUUUUUUUUUUUUCCUUUCAAUCAAUCAAGCUAUGAAUUCUCCAAUUCGUGCCCCUUCACCACCUUCCUCUUCUUCUUGCUCCUAUAAUCGUCCUCGUCCAUGUCUCACUCAUGCUUCUCGUAAUUUCAAGUUUCCUCUGGUGUUGCCGCAGUCAAUCUGUACCUCUCAAAAGAUGCAUCGCUGCUCUGGAGGCCAUGUGGAGGUUUCUGCUAAUACUAAUCCCUUGAAAAAUAAUGUAGUGGGCAGAUGUACUCCAGGAUGGUCUGAGCCACAACCCUUGUUUUCCAAGAAAUUACUCAACCGGCAGUUGUUGCCCGUGGAAGCUUUAGUAACUCCAACAGUUCAAAAUGUUUCUGAUACACCUCUUCUUGGUGAUGAUAAGAUUGGAGUGUUAUUGUUGAACCUUGGAGGUCCAGAGACUCUAGAAGAUGUGCAGCCAUUUUUGUUUAACCUUUUUGCUGACCCAGAUAUUAUACGAUUGCCAAGGUUAUUUAGCUUUCUUCAAAAACCAUUGGCCAAAUUUGUAUCUGUUUUAAGAGCACCAAAGAGCAAAGAAGGCUAUGCUUCAAUUGGUGGUGGAUCUCCUCUUAGACGUAUAACUGAUGCACAGGCUGAAGAGUUGAGGAAAUCUCUUUGGGCAAAGAAUGUCCCAGCCAAAGUGUAUGUUGGCAUGCGUUACUGGCAUCCAUUCACUGAAGAGGCUAUUGAACAGAUUAAAAGGGAUGGAAUUACAAAGCUUGUUGUACUUCCACUUUAUCCACAAUUUUCAAUUUCAACCAGUGGUUCAAGUCUGCGUCUCUUGGAGAGUAUUUUCCGAGAGGAUGAGUAUCUUGUCAACAUGCAGCACACAGUAAUUCCUUCGUGGUACCAACGUGAAGGAUACAUAAAGGCCAUGGCAAAUUUAAUUGAAAAAGAGCUAAAAAGUUUUGACAACCCUGAGAAGGUCAUGAUAUUUUUUAGUGCACAUGGGGUGCCUCUUGCUUAUGUGGAAGAGGCUGGUGAUCCAUACAAGGCAGAGAUGGAGGAAUGCGUGGAUUUGAUCAUGGAAGAACUUGAAAAAAGAAAGAUAACUAAUGGAUACACCCUAGCUUAUCAGGUAACUGAUUUUUUUGUCUUUAAUUCAUUACCCUGCUUUUCUGUUUUCCAAGUAUUAGUACAUGGUAUUAACCUAUUCCUUGAAAAAAAAAAUGAGGCUUAUCAAAGUAUAUGGUACAAGGUACACCGCGAGGGGAACUCCAACAGCUUUCCAAAUGUAAACAUUCCUAUCAAGGAUGAUGGGAAUUUUUCAGCACAAGAAAGUCAAACAUCUAGACUUUAGAAGUAGAGUUGGACCUGUGGAAUGGUUAAAACCCUAUACAGACGAGACAAUAGUUGAACUUGGGAAAAAGGGAGUAAAAAGUCUACUGGCUGUACCAAUUAGGUGACGUCACCCAGCUUUAUUUAUAUGGUUUAUUAUAUUAAUACUAUCUAUAUACUUACUGUCUUUUUCUUUUUCCUUUCACUCUGUCUGAUAAUAUGCAUAAGAAUAAGUGACACUAGUAUUUUGUUAAUAUAUGCUUGAUUCACAGCUUUGUCAGUGAGCAUAUUGAAACUCUAGAAGAAAUUGAUGUUGAGUAUAAAGAAUUGGCUCUAAAAUCUGGUAUAGAAAAAUGGGGUCGUGUUCCUGCUCUAGGAUGCGAACCCACCUUCAUUUCAGAUUUGGCAGAUGCUGUAAUUGAGAGUCUCCCGUAUGUUGGUGCCAUGGCGGUUUCAAAUCUUGAAGCUCGACAGUCUUUGGUUCCCCUGGGCAGUGUGGAAGAGUUAUUAGCAGUAUAUGACACACAACGUAGGGAGUUGCCGCCACCAGUAAUUGUGUGGGAAUGGGGAUGGACAAAAAGUGCUGAAACUUGGAAUGGAAGAGCAGCCAUGCUUGCUGUGCUGCUUCUGUUGUUUUUAGAAGUCACCACUGGUGAGGGAUUUCUGCAUCAGUGGGGAAUAUUGCCCUUGUUUAGGUGAAUGAGUCCUCAUCUGCACUUCAUGGCAAUGGAAUAUAGUUUUGCUUGUAUAUGUAUACCAUUAGCAUCACAUAAUAUACCCCUUAAAAAAUAAGGCAUGCACUCAGGAGUCUUCAAAUCUAGUUUAGACAUAGCAUUCCUGGAUGGAAACAAGAGAAAGAUAAUGUAUAGUGAUUUGGUUUGUAGACUACGCAGGGUACCUCUUGUAUGUAUCUAAAGCAUUUUUACUUGGCUUCCAUGACUCUUGAUACCUACUUGAUUGUUGUAGCUGAAAUAAAAAGCAGUUAUUGACAUAACAAAUUCCUUGUGAACUUGUGAGAGACUUUGUCAUUUGAACUGUUUUGUUGACGAAAAAAAACAGAAGAGGUUUUGAAAA